AUACAGAGGGUGCAAGCGUUAAUCGGAUUUACUGGGCGUAAAGCGCGCGUAGGCGGCUAAUUAAGUCAAAUGUGAAAUCCCCGAGCUUAACUUGGGAAUUGCAUUCGAUACUGGUUAGCUAGAGUGUGGGCGAGGAUGGUAGAAUUCCAGGUGUAGCGGUGAAAUGCGUAGAGAUCUGGAGGAAUACCGAUGGCGAAGGCAGCCAUCUGGCCUAACACUGACGCUGAGGUGCGAAAGCAUGGGGAGCAAACAGGAUUAGAAACCCCAGUAGUCC
rnacentral:rRNA from 1 species